rnacentral:lncRNA from 1 species
GGAAUUCCACUAGAUGUCUUCAAUGAAAAAUUUGGUUCCCUCGUAUUCAAGAUUUUCAGCUACAAAACUAUUUUCCCUUUUAAUCAUUCAUCCUCUGUUUUUGCUUUUCUGCUCCAGCUGCGUUUGGCCUUGGCUUCUAGAUCCAUUUCAAAAUUUCUCUAUUUUUCCGAAAUGUGUGUGGUUCGCUAAGUUCUGCUUAGUUUUCUUUUGUGCUCAGUGCUUCUUUCUUGAUGAGCAUAUGAAUAUUUGAUUCUAUUUUGUUUAGAGAUGAUUGAUUUUGAUAUUAAACUUUCCUUCUUUCUUCGUGUUUCCUUUAUGGAUUCUGUCAUACUCAUACAUGUGGUUAUUUUUUAAAAUGCCUCUUUAAAAAUUUUCAGCUUUGGUAACCUGACUGCUCCCCUACAGCGGCUACAGAAAAUUGCCACUGGGAGAAAAAUAAACUAACAACGGAAGAGUUUUAAUGCAACCAAUAUGUUUGAUGAAAUUCCAAUGUAUUUGAUGAAAUUCUCCAAUGUAAAGAAGAUAGUUUCAACAAUUCGGUUGACCUCUUCUCUGCAAUCAAUCAAGCUUUUUACAUAUCAAUGGACACUGAUUAAAUUAGUACAACUUGAUUUCUACUACUGAUUGCACUUUGAAUUCCCAUUUUGUUGAUUGGUAAGCUUUUGUCAGUGUAUUCCCUCUAUGUAAUUUCAUUGUUUUCCAUUUUAUAUCUUCGGCUUUAUUUUAUAAUUUUCUUACUCAAUUUAGAUCGGGUUUCUUUCAUAUGCAUUUUUUUUUAUUUAUCAAGAUGCGAAUCAGAUUGUUUGCAUGCUUAUAGGGAGAGAAAGUAUGAACUCGAGGGAGAUUCUAGAGCAGCAGAAAAAACAUUGGUCAUAAUCGAAAAAGAGAAAAAGGGGCAGGAGAGGCAAUCGAAGAAAAUGACAUCAAACAACUAUUGCCAAGGUGAUGCUGACUUGAUAGCUGAACGUUAAUUAGGUAUGGACUAAUAUUAGGCUUAUAUUUUGUGUAUCUUUUAAUUGUUAUAUUCCUAUAUGCGCAUGCACACAUACCCAUAUCAGUAUGGCACGAGCGAGCGACUAUGUGUGUAUGUGUGUAAAGUAUUCUUUUAGAAAAUAUUUUACUUAAAGAUAUUACUUGCCAAGUCAUUUUUCUUAUUUGGUUGAACAGAGAAAAUGAAACGCAAGCUUCGUUGAUAAUCACAAAUAGUAAACAAUGGAGAUGAUAUUUACAUGUUAUAUGAGUAAGCGAUACAGAAUAGGAGUGGAGUGGAAAUAAUUUUCAAAAUGGAUACAACUACAAGCUAGAAAAUAGUUUCAUUAGUGAAAAUGAAUUCACCAUCAGAGUGGAAGUUUUCAUUGUACUCAUACUUUCAAUGUGCUCUCUGUUAAAGUUAACAUAGUAUAAUAGCUUUUCUCCAACCAGUUUGCAAUAAUAUU